rnacentral:rRNA from 1 species
AAAGCGUGCGCAGGCGGUCUUGUAAGACAGAGGUGAAAUCCCCGGGCUCAACCUGGGAACUGCCUUUGUGACUGCAAGGCUAGAGUACGGCAGAGGGGGAUGGAAUUCCGCGUGUAGCAGUGAAAUGCGUAGAUAUGCGGAGGAACACCGAUGGCGAAGGCAAUCCCCUGGGCCUGUACUGACGCUCAUGCACGAAAGCGUGGGGAGCAAACAGGAUUAGAUACCCCGGU